UACGGAGGGUGCAAGCGUUGUUCGGAAUUAUUGGGCGUAAAGCGCGUGUAGGCGGCCCAACAAGUCUAAUGUGAAAUCCUGGGGCUUAACCCCAGAACUGCAUCGGAUACUGUUGGGCUAGAGGAUGAGAGAGGAUGGUGGAAUUCCUGGUGUAGGGGUGAAAUCCGCAGAUAUCAGGAGGAACAUCAGUGGCGAAGGCGGCCAUCUGGCUCAUUUCUGACGCUGAGACGCAAAAGCGUGGGGAGCAAACAGG
rnacentral:rRNA from 1 species